rnacentral:rRNA from 6 species
GCGGUGGUCCCACCUGACCCCAUGCCGAACUCAGAAGUGAAACGCCGUAGCGCCGAUGGUAGUGUGGGGUCUCCCCAUGCGAGAGUAGGGAACUGCCAGGCA